rnacentral:rRNA from 1 species
UAGAGUUUGAUCCUGGCUCAGAACGAACGCUGGCGGCAGGCUUAACACAUGCAAGUCGAACGCAUCGCAAGAUGAGUGGCAGACGGGUGAGUAACGCGUGGGAACAUACCCUUUCCUGCGGAAUAGCUCCGGGAAACUGGAAUUAAUACCGCAUACGCCCUACGGGGGAAAGAUUUAUCGGGGAAGGAUUGGCCCGCGUUGGAUUAGCUAGUUGGUGGGGUAAAGGCCUACCAAGGCGACGAUCCAUAGCUGGUCUGAGAGGAUGAUCAGCCACAUUGGGACUGAGACACGG